rnacentral:rRNA from 1 species
UACGGAGGGGGCUAGCGUUAUUCGGAAUUAUUGGGCGUAGAGGGCGUGUAGGCGGCUUCGUGUGUCCCAUGUGAAAGCCCUCGGCUCAACCGGGGAACUGCAUGGGAAACUGCGGAGCUUGAGUCCGGGAGAGGAUAGUGGAAUUCCCAGUGUAGCGGUGAAAUGCGUAGAUAUUGGGAGGAACACCCGUGGCGAAGGCGGCUAUCUGGACCGGUACUGACGCUGAGACGCGAAAGCCAGGGGAGCAAACGGG